CCAAGGGCUCGCUUGAUGGAGGGGAGCGGCAGACGGGUGAGUAACACGUGGGAACGUACCUUUCGGUUCGGGACAACCCAGGGAAACUUGGGCUAAUACCGGAUACGCCCUUCGGGGGAAAGAUUUAUCGCCGAAAGAUCGGCCCGCGUCCGAUUAGCUAGUUGGUGAGGUAACGGCUCACCAAGGCGACGAUCGGUAGCUGGUCUGAGAGGAUGAUCAGCCACAUUGGGACUGAGACACGGCCCAA
rnacentral:rRNA from 1 species